rnacentral:rRNA from 1 species
UACGGGGGGGGCAAGCGUUGUUCGGAAUUACUGGGCGUAAAGCGCACGUAGGCGGAUAUUUAAGUCAGGGGUGAAAUCCCAGAGCUCAACUCUGGAACUGCCUUUGAUACUGGGUAUCUUGAGUAUGGAAGAGGUAAGUGGAAUUGCGAGUGUAGAGGUGAAAUUCGUAGAUAUUCGCAGGAACACCAGUGGCGAAGGCGGCUUACUGGUCCAUAACUGACGCUGAGGUGCGAAAGCGUGGGGAGCAAACAGG